rnacentral:tRNA from 1 species
GGUAGCUUAGUGGUAGAGUUCUUGCCUACCAUGCAUGAAGCCCUGGGUUCAAUUCCUCAGUACCA